rnacentral:misc_RNA from 1 species
GAUGAAGAACGUAGCGAAAUGCGAUAAGUAAUGUGAAUUGCAGAAUUCAGUGAAUCAUCGAAUCUUUGAACGCACAUUGCGCCCGCCAGCACUCUGGCGGGCAUGCCUGUCCGAGCGUCAUUUCAACCCUCGCGCCGUCCCUCCAGGGGGCUCGGCGCGGUGUUGGGGGACACGGCCCCGGCCGCCCCCGAAAUGCAGUGGCGACCCCGCCGCGGCCCCUCCAGCGCAGUAAGCACGCUCGCUACGGGAGGCCCGGUGGACGCGUCCGCCGUAAAACGCCCAACUCUUCAGAAGUUGACCUCGGAUCAGGUAGGGAUACCUGCUGAACUUAAGCAUAUCAAUAAGCGGAGGA